ACAAGGAUGGGCCUGCGUUCCAUUAGUUAGAUGGUGGGGUAACGGCCUACCAUGGCGACGAUGGAUAGCUGAUCUGAGAGGAUGAUCAGCACAAUGGAACUGAGACACGGUCCAGACUCCUACGGGAGGCAGCAGUGGGGAAUAUUGCACAAUGGAGGAAACUCUGAUGCAGCAACGCCGCGUGGAGGAUGACGCAUUUCGGUGUGUAAACUCCUUUUAUAUGGGAAGAUAAUGACGGUACCAUAUGAAUAAGCACCGGCUAACUCCGUGCCAGCAGCCGCGGUAAUACGGAGGGUGCAAGCGUUACUCGGAAUCACUGGGCGUAAAGCGCAUGCAGGCGGUUAAAUAAGUUGGAAGUGAAAUCCUAUGGCUCAACCAUAGAACUGCUUCCAAAACUGUUUAACUAGAGUCUGGGAGGGGAAGAUGGAAUUAGUUGUGUAGGGGUAAAAUCCGUAGAGAUAACUAGGAAUACCAAAAGCGAAGGCGAUCUUCUGGAACAGUACUGACGCUGAGAUGCGAAAGCGUGGGGAGCAAACAGGAUUAGAUACCCUGGUAGUCCACGCAGCAAAACGAUGAAAUGUUAGUUCGUUGGGUAGCUAGUCUAUUUCAGUGAUUGCAGUUAACACAUUAAACAUUCCGCCUGGGGAGUACGGUCGCAAGAUUAAAACUCAAAGGGAAUAGACGGGGACCCGCACAAGUGGUGGAGCAUGUGGUUUAAUUCGAAGAUACGCGAAGAACCUUACCUAGCCUUGACAUAUUAGAGAACACACCAGAGAUGGAGUGGUGCCUUCGGGAGCUCUAUUACAGGUGCUGCACGGCUGUCGUCAGCUCGUGUCGUGAGAUGUUGGGUUAAGUCCCGCAACGAGCGCAACCCUCGUCACUAGUUACUAACGGUUCGGCCGAGGACUCUAGUGAGACUGCCUUCGUAAGGAGGAGGAAGGUGAGGACGACGUCAAGUCAUCAUGGCCCUUACGGCUAGGGCAACACACGUGCUACAAUGGUUAGGACAAUGAGAAGCAAUAUCGCGAGGUGGAGCAAAUCUAUAAACCUAAUCUCAGUUCGGAUUGUAGUCUGCAACUCGACUACAUGAAGCUGGAAUCACUAGUAAUCGUAGAUCAGCUAUGNUACAGUGAAUACGUUCCCGGAUCUUGUACUCACCGCCCGUCACA
rnacentral:rRNA from 1 species